rnacentral:rRNA from 1 species
GACGAACGCUGGCGGCGUGCUUAACACAUGCAAGUCGAACGGAAAGGCCCUGCUUUUGUGGGGUGCUCGAGUGGCGAACGGGUGAGUAACACGUGAGUAACCUGCCCUUGACUUUGGGAUAACUUCAGGAAACUGGGGCUAAUACCGGAUAGGAGCUCCUGCUGCAUGGUGGGGGUUGGAAAGUUUCGGCGGUUGGGGAUGGACUCGCGGCUUAUCAGCUUGUUGGUGGGGUAGUGGCUUACCAAGGCUUUGACGGGUAGCCGGCCUGAGAGGGUGACCGGCCACAUUGGGACUGAGAUACGGCGCAGACUCCUACGGGAGGCAGCAGUGGGGAGUAUUGCACAGUGGGCGGAAGCCUGAUGCAGCAACGCCGCGUGCGGGAUGACGGCCUUCGGGUUGUGAACCGCUUUCGCCUGUGACGAAGCGUGAGUGACGGUAAUGGGUAAAGAAGCACCGGCUAACUACGUG